rnacentral:rRNA from 1 species
AGUGGCAAACGGGUGAGUAACACGUGGGUGACCUACCUUCGAGUGGGGGAUAACGUCCCGAAAGGGACGCUAAUACCGCAUAACAUCCUGUUCUUGAACGGAUGGAAAUCAAAGCCGGGGAUCGCAAGACCUGGCGCUUGAAGAGGGGCCCGCGUCUGAUUAGCUAGUUGGUGAGGUAACGGCCCACCAAGGCAACGAUCAGUAUCCGGCCUGAGGGGGCGGACGGACACACUGGGACUGAGACACGGCCCAGACUCCUACGGGAGGCAGCAGUGGGGAAUUGUUCGCAAUGGGCGCAAGCCUGAUGACGCAACGCCGCGUGGAGGAUGAAGGUCUUCGGAUUGUAAACUCCUGUUGCUCGGGACGAAGAGCCUCGACCUAACACGUCGAGGUCUGACGGUACCGAGUGAGGAAGCCCCGGCUAACUCUGUGCCAGCAGCCGCGGUAAUACAGAGGGGGCAAGCGUUGUUCGGAAUUACUGGGCGUAAGGGGCGCGUAGGCGGCCCGCUAAGUCGAACGUGAAAUCCCCGAGCUCAACUCGGGAACUGCGUCCGAUACUGGCGGGCUUGAAUCCGGGAGAGGGAUGCGGAAUUCCAGGUGUAGCGGUGAAAUGCGUAGAUAUCUGGAGGAACACCGGUGGCGAAGGCGGCAUCCUGGACCGGCAUUGACGCUGAGGCGCGAAAGCUAGGGGAGCAAACGGGAUUAGAUACCCCGGUAGUCCUAGCCCU